UGGGGAAUAUUGGACAAUGGGCGAAAGCCUGAUCCAGCCAUGCCGCGUGUGUGAAGAAGGUCUUCGGAUUGUAAAGCACUUUAAGUUGGGAGGAAGGGCAGUAAGCUAAUACCUUGCUGUUUUGACGUUACCGACAGAAUAAGCACCGGCUAACUCUGUGCCAGCAGCCGCGGUAAUACAGAGGGUGCAAGCGUUAAUCGGAAUUACUGGGCGUAAAGCGCGCGUAGGUGGUUUGUUAAGUUGGAUGUGAAAGCCCCGGGCUCAAACUGGGAACUGCAUCCAAAACUGGCAGGAUAGAGUACGGUUGAGGGUGGUGGAAUUUCCUGUGUAGCGGUGAAAUGCGUAGAUAUAGGAAGGAACACCAGGGGCGAAGGCGACCACCUGGACUGAUACUGACACUGAGGUGCGAAAGCGUGGGGAGCAAACA
rnacentral:rRNA from 1 species